rnacentral:tRNA from 1 species
GGAGAGGUGGCUGAGUCUGGCUGAAGGCGCUCGCCUGGAAAGCGGGUAGGCGGCUAAAACCGUCUCGGGGGUUCAAAUCCCCCUCUCUCCG